rnacentral:rRNA from 1 species
AUUGAACGCUGGCGGCAUGCUUUACACAUGCAAGUCGAACGGUAACAGGUCUUCGGAUGCUGACGAGUGGCGAACGGGUGAGUAAUACAUCGGAACGUGCCUAGUAGUGGGGGAUAACUACUCGAAAGAGUAGCUAAUACCGCAUGAGAUCUACGGAUGAAAGCAGGGGACCUUCGGGCCUUGUGCUGCUAGAGCGGCUGAUGGCAGAUUAGGUAGUUGGUGGGGUAAAGGCUUACCAAGCCUGCGAUCUGUAGCUGGUCUGAGAGGACGACCAGCCACACUGGGACUGAGACACGGCCCAGACUCCUACGGGAGGCAGCAGUGGGGAAUUUUGGACAAUGGGCGAAAGCCUGAUCCAGCAAUGCCGCGUGCAGGAUGAAGGCCCUCGGGUUGUAAACUGCUUUUAUACGGAACGAAAAGCCUGGGGCUAAUAUCCCCGGGUCAUGACGGUACCUUAUGAAUAAGCACCGGCUAACUCCGUGCCAGCAGCCGCCGUAA